rnacentral:sRNA from 1 species
AAUAAGUCAGUAGUCGGUUAUUAGCACUUAACAUUGGUGUCACUAAAGUUGGCAUACACCCCCCAACUGCUAAAUUUGACUGGCUUAAA